UUCUUCCUACGGGAGGCAGCAGUAGGGAAUCUUCCACAAUGGGCGAAAGCCUGAUGGAGCAACGCCGCGUGGGAGAAGAAGGUCUUCGGAUCGUAAAACCCUGUUGUUAGAGAAGAAAGUGCGUGAGAGUAACUGUUCACGUUUCGACGGUAUCUAACCAGAAAGCAACGGCUAACUACGUGCCAGCAGCCGCGGUAAUACGUAGGUGGCAAGCGUUAUCCGGAUUUAUUGGGCGUAAAGGGAACGAAGGCGGUUGUGUAAG
rnacentral:rRNA from 1 species